ACGACCUUACUUGAACAGGAUCUGUUCUAUAGGCUCGUACCUCUGUAUCCUUGAGUUCUAAGGAGACAGGAACAUAAGUCUGGUUGAUGAGACAUGACCGUGCGAUCAGAGCGUGAUUAACGGCUCUGGUGAGACCUGUAUUGGACUCAUCAAGCUGUAGAGGAUCGUUCCCGAUGUUGGUUCCGACACUGGGGUGAUCGCAUGGUUGUCUGACAGACU